rnacentral:rRNA from 1 species
GACGAACGCUGGCGGCGUGCUUAACACAUGCAAGUCGAACGAGAAUCUGUGGAUCGAGGAUUCGUCCAAGUGAAGCAGAGGAAAGUGGCGGACGGGUGAGUAACGCGUGAGGAACCUGCCUUUCAGAGGGGGACAACAGUUGGAAACGACUGCUAAUACCGCAUGAUACAUUUGGGUGGCAUCAUCUGAAUGUCAAAGAUUUAUCGCUGAAAGAUGGCCUCGCGUCUGAUUAGCUGGUUGGUGAGGGAACGGCCCACCAAGGCGACGAUCAGUAGCCGGACUGAGAGGUUGACCGUCCACAUUGGGACUGAGAUACGGCCCAGACUCCUACGGGAGGCAGCAGUGGGGAAUAUUGGGCAAUGGGCGCAAGCCUGACCCAGCAACGCCGCGUGAAGGAAGAAGGCUUUCGGGUUGUAAACUUCUUUUAAGAGGGAAGAGCAGAAGACUGUACCUCUAGAAUAAGCCACGGCUAACUACGUGCCAGCCGCCGCGGUAA